GCCUCUGUAGCUCAGUUGGUAGAGCAGGGGACUGAAAAUCCCCGUGUCGAUGGUUCGAUUCCGUCCGGAGGCACCA
rnacentral:tRNA from 10 species